GCCAGAGCAGCUCUCGGCCGUGCCCAGGACAGGAACAUCCUCCUGAUUGUCAGUGGGCAGCUAUGCACUGACAAGAGCCUUGUUUGUUCUUGUGUCUCAACACAAUCUGAAAACUUACAAUGAUUGACCAACUCAUUUUUGUUCUUGUGUCUCAACACAAUCUGAAAACUUACAAUGAUUGAGCAACUCAUUGCUGCAAUUUGCACUCUUUAUGGCGUUGGUUAUUCAGGAUAUUACCUGAGUAAUCUGGGGUGUCACCUGAGACGUGUAUUCAGAGAUGCUGCUCGUGAGAGCACAGAACCAACAGCAGACUCUCCUCUGGUUCCCACUGCUCCUGGAGCAGAGGCCAAAGAUGAGGCCAAAGACGACCACAAGCCUCCAGCUGUGCUCACAGCACAGCCUGAAUAUUCCGAGCUGGCCCUUCUGGAGAGAGAGAAUGAGCAGAUUGCUUUAUCAGAUGUGGCAUGCCAGACUCAGGGAGUGCUGUUCCCAGCCCGAGAGCAGGAAGAGCAGCUCAGGCAGCGAGCAGAGGAGCAGCAGGAGGAUGGCCAGAACAUCAAGGCAGAGCCACAAGCAGAGCUGCCCAAAGCUCAGAUUGCCAUCAUGACAGUGAAGAGGAGGAACAAGGAAGACAUGAGAAUAAUUCAAUAUCACCGGAGUCUCCAUCGACAGAGGGGUGAUCAAGAAAACCAGGUGAAGAACUUUAAGGAGAAGCUGCAGGCAGAGCUGCAGGAAGCUGAGGCUCGGCUCAAGGCAAAGGAGAAGAGGCUGGAGGAAGAAAUGAAAAUCGUCAAAGAGAAAAUUCAUCAUCUCCUUAGGAAGCAAGAGGCUCUAGAAAAUCGAGUGAAAGUGUUGACAUCUCACCUGCCAGCCUGCAAAGACUUCCAGGAAAUGACCAGAAACAAAGAGACCCGUGGUCGGUGUGAGGCAGGGGAGCUGUCCCAGUCGGAUAUGCUGCAGGUUUGGAACAUCCUGAAGAUGCUGCAGGAAAAGAGAACUCAGUGGGAAGAGGCAGAACACUUGAACAAGGAGCUGCAGUGAUUAUUGUGUGCUGCCUUUGCCUUGAGAAUAAAGAGCAUGGUCUUCCUGAGAAGGUAGCUGGAAUGCAUUCAAGGGGAAGAAAGUGGUUUGACGAGGCUCUUGACCAUCA
rnacentral:lncRNA from 12 species